UCAGGAUAUUAUGUCAGUUGAAGAAUGGUUUAAAACACUGAGAAAUUGACCUUGGAGAAGAAAAAAACAUUAGAGGAUGUGAUAAAAUCUUUCGUGGAAGACCAGUUAGAUUUAUUCUUUGUGUCUUUAGAAGGCUUCACAACAGAUGGAAGUUACAGAAGAAGACCAAUUUGGGAUUGAUAGCAGGAAAACCUCUUUCUAAAUACAGGCAUCUGCACAUAAAAAGAUAGCCCACCCUACAGCAGCUGCUCUUUGCUGGGUGUCAUUCCUGUCACUGUGAGGACACUGGCAAACCAAAGAGAUUGGUCCUUGUCUUUGGGACUCCUAGAGUUGAGGACAGAUAAUGCAUAGGAAGAAUCAGGAUUCAUGACUACAACCCCAAAAUACGGCACUUCUGCCUGUGUGGAAACAACAGAAGCAGGAAGAUUACUCUCAUUUUUCUCUGGCCUUUUUCCCUUGAAGCAGACUAUAAAGAAGAAUCUGACCUUCCUCUGAAGGAAACCUUCAUUCCAGACAUACCCUCCCUAUAUCCAAAGAACAUCUUUAUCUUUAAAGACACAGAGAUGUCAAGAAGAAUCUGAACAAACAGGCUUUGCCAGAUCCCCCAGUUUACUAAUAUUGAACCAUACUCUUUUGUUCUUCAAUCAUACUUCUGCAUGAUGUCCAUAAAAAUACACAGUUUUCCCCAUUCCUUUUGGGUAUUUAUUCCCGAAAGCUUCUGUGUCAUGUAAAACUUACAUUAAAUAAAUUUGUAUGCUUUUCCUUG
rnacentral:lncRNA from 1 species